AGUAUGUGUGUUAGUGGAAGCGUCUGGAAAGGCGCGCGAUACAGGGUGACAGCCCCGUACACAAAAAUGCACAUGCUGUGAGCUCGAUGAGUAGGGCGGGACACGUGGUAUCCUGUCUGAAUAUGGGGGGACCAUCCUCCAAGGCUAAAUACUCCUGACUGACCGAUAGUGAACCAGUACCGUGAGGGAAAGGCGAAAAGAACCCCGGCGAGGGGAGUGAAAAAGAACCUGAAACCGUGUACGUACAAGCAGUGGGAGCACGCUUAGGCGUGUGACUGCGUACCUUUUGUAUAAUGGGUCAGCGACUUAUAUUCUGUAGCAAGGUUAACCGAAUAGGGGAGCCGAAGGGAAACCGAGUCUUAACUGGGCGUUAAGUUGCAGGGUAUAGACCCGAAACCCGGUGAUCUAGCCAUGGGCAGGUUGAAGGUUGGGUAACACUAACUGGAGGACCGAACCGACUAAUGUUGAAAAAUUAGCGGAUGACUUGUGGCUGGGGGUGAAAGGCCAAUCAAACCGGGAGAUAGCUGGUUCUCCCCGAAAGCUAUUUAGGUAGCGCCUCGUGAAUUCAUCUCCGGGGGUAGAGCACU
rnacentral:rRNA from 1 species